rnacentral:piRNA from 1 species
UAGCUACGUUUUCUAGAUCACCUCAGCCA